AGUGAACGCUGGCGGUAGGCCUAACACAUGCAAGUCGAACGGCAGCACAGUAAGAGCUUGCUCUUACGGGUGGCGAGUGGCGGACGGGUGAGGAAUACAUCGGAAUCUACUUUUUCGUGGGGGAUAACGUAGGGAAACUUACGCUAAUACCGCAUACGACCUACGGGUUAAAGCAGGGGAUCUUCGGACCUUGCGCGAUUGAAUGAGCCGAUGUCGGAUUAGCUAGUUGGCGGGGUAAAGGCCCACCAAGGCGACGAUCCGUAGCUGGUCUGAGAGGAUGAUCAGCCACACUGGAACUGAGACACGGUCCAGACUCCUACGGGAGGCAGCAGUGGGGAAUAUUGGACAAAGGGCGAAAGCCUGAUCCAGCCAUACCGCGUGGGUGAAGAAGGCCUUCGGGUUGUAAAGCCCUUUUGUUGGGAAAGAAAAGCAGCAGGUUAAUACCCCGCUGUUCUGACGGUACCCAAAGAAUAAGCACCGGCUAACUUCGUG
rnacentral:rRNA from 1 species